UACGUAGGGUGCGAUCGUUGUCCGGAAUUAUUGGGCGUAAAGAGCUCGUAGGCGGCCUGUCGCGUCGGAUGUGAAAGCCCGGGGCUUAACCCCGGGUUGGCAUUCGAUACGGGCAGGCUAGAGUUCGGUAGGGGAGAUCGGAAUUCCUGGUGUAGCGGUGAAAUGCGCAGAUAUCAGGAGGAACACCGGUGGCGAAGGCGGAUCUCUGGGCCGAUCCUGACGCUGAGGAGCGAAAGCAUGGGGAGCGAACAGG
rnacentral:rRNA from 1 species